rnacentral:rRNA from 1 species
AGUGAACGCUGGCGGCGUGCUUAACACAUGCAAGUCGAACGAGAACGGAUUAUAGCUUGCUAUAAUUGUCAGCUAAGUGGCGCGCGGGUGAGUAAUGUAUAGGUAAUAUGCCUCUUACUAAGGGAUAACAAAUGGAAACGUUUGCUAAUACCUUAUACUCCUUAUUAACAGAAGUUAAUAAGGGAAAGAUUUAUUGGUAAGAGAUUAGCCUGUAUUGUAUCAGUUAGUUGGUGGGGUAAUGGCUUACCAAGACUAUGACACAUAACUGGUUUGAGAGGAUGAUCAGUCACACUGGAACUGAGAUACGGUCCAGACUCCUACGGGAGGCAGCAGUGGGGAAUAUUGCACAAUGGACGAAAGUCUGAUGCAGCAACGCCGCGUGGAGGAUGACACAUUUCGGUGCGUAAACUCCUUUUAUAUGAGAAGAUAAUGACGGUAUUAUAUGAAUAAGCACCGGCUAACUCCGUGCCAGCCGCCGCGGUAA